UGAGGAAUAUUGCGCAAUGGAGGCAACUCUGACGCAGCCAUGCCGCGUGCAGGAAGAAGGCGCUACGCGUUGUAAACUGCUUUUAAUCGGAAAGAAACCCCGGGACGUGUCCCGGGUUGACGGUACCGAUGGAAUAAGCACCGGCUAACUUCGUGCCAGCAGCCGCGGUAAUACGAAGGGUGCAAGCGUUAUCCGGAUUCAUUGGGUUUAAAGGGUGCGUAGGCGGAACAAUAAGUCAGCGGUGAAAGCCCGCAGCUUAACUGCGGAAUUGCCGUUGAUACUGUUGUUCUUGAGUACGUUUGACGUGGGCGGAAUGUGCCGUGUAGCGGUGAAAUGCUUAGAUAUGGCACAGAACACCGAUAGUGAAGACAGCUCACGAAGACGAAACUGACGCUGAGGCAC
rnacentral:rRNA from 1 species